GGCUACAUGGCAGAGUGGUUAUACAGCGGAUGGCAGCUCCGUUAAUGCCAGUUCGAUUCCGACCGUAGCCUCCA
rnacentral:tRNA from 1 species